UAUGUAGGGUGCGAGCGUUAAUCGGAAUUACUGGGCGUAAAGCGUGCGCAGGCGGUUAUGCAAGACAGAUGUGAAAUCCCCGGGCUCAACCUGGGAACUGCAUUUGUGACUGCAUGGCUGGAGUGCGGCAGAGGGGGAUGGAAUUCCGCGUGUAGCAGUGAAAUGCGUAGAUAUGCGGAGGAACACCGAUGGCGAAGGCAAUCCCCUGGGCCUGCACUGACGCUCAUGCACGAAAGCGUGGGGAGCAAACAGG
rnacentral:rRNA from 1 species